GUGGGGAAUAUUGGACAAUGGGCGAAAGCCUGAUCCAGCCAUGCCGCGUGUGUGAAGAAGGUCUUCGGAUUGUAAAGCACUUUAAGUUGGGAGGAAGGGUAGUAACCUAAUACGUUGCUACUUUGACGUUACCGACAGAAUAAGCACCGGCUAACUUCGUGCCAGCAGCCGCGGUAAUACGAAGGGUGCAAGCGUUAAUCGGAAUUACUGGGCGUAAAGCGCGCGUAGGUGGUUCAGUAAGUUGGAAGUGAAAUCCCCGGGCUCAACCUGGGAACUGCUUUCAAAACUGCGGGGCUAGAGUACGGUAGAGGAUGGUGGAAUUUCCUGUGUAGCGGUGAAAUGCGUAGAUAUAGGAAGGAACACCAGUGGCGAAGGCGACCACCUGGACUGAUACUGACACUGAGGUGCGAAAGCGUGGGGAGCAAACAGGAUUAGAAACCCGAGUAGUCC
rnacentral:rRNA from 1 species